GCCUGAUUCAAUGACAUUUUCACCUUCGAAGGGAUAUGGUCGGCUAUCCAGCAAUACUCGAUUCAAGGCCGAUUAGUCAUGAGAGCACUGUGCAACGCCGUUUGCUUAUCGGGCAUUCCACUGCGCGCUAUCCAACAGGGCUCGAGGUUGAGCAUGGCGGCUAUAGACAGGAAAUCGCGCAAGCGACGGCGCGAUUUCCUGUUGGCCGCCUUCACGGCGAUUUCCUGUCGGCGGCCUUCACGGCGAUUUCCACGCGCCUUCACGGCGCGUGGUGCACGCACGCGACCGGGCUGUUGCGGCUAGGGGUGCGCGGCCCUACUAGGUGUGCAGCUGCAUGCUGUGCGCUGUGGUAAGGGCAAGGUGCGGCCGGCCGAAACGGCGCAGUGCGCUAUUCUAGGGGCCGUGACCACUUCCCGUCCCGGUGCCGUUCCCUGCGGUCUUUGGCCUUGUGGCC
rnacentral:lncRNA from 1 species